rnacentral:rRNA from 1 species
CCUACGGGAGGCAGCAGUGGGGAAUAUUGCGCAAUGGGCGAAAGCCUGACGCAGCGACGCCGCGUGAGGGAUGAAGGUCUUCGGAUUGUAAACCUCUGUCAGCAGGGAAGAACGGUCACUGUGCUAAUCAGCAGUGAAUUGACGGUACCUGCAAAGGAAGCACCGGCUAACGCCGUGCCAGCAGCCGCGGUAAGACGGAGGGUGCGAGCGUUAAUCGGAAUUACUGGGCGUAAAGCGCUCGUAGACGGUAUGUCAAGUCAAGGGUGAAAUCCCCGCGCUCAACGUGGGAACUGCCUUUGAAACUGGCAAGCUGGAGUGUGUGAGAGGAUAGUGGAAUUCCUGGUGUAGGGGUGAAAUCCGUAGAUAUCUGGAGGAACAUCAGUGGCGAAGGCGACUAUCUGGCACAUAACUGACGCUGAGGAGCGAAAGCGUGGGUAGCAAACAGGAUUAGAUACCCGUGUAGUC